UGGGAAAGAAAGGAAGGAAAGAAAUGAAGCAGCAUAACACAAAUUGAGGAGAAAACCUUACUAGAGCAAAAGGGUGGGUGGAGACCUUUCUCCUCUGAGACGAAACUAUUCCCUCAAUGCGUGGACUGUAGGCUCUUUAGUAUCAAGCACGUCGAGAAAGAACCCACCUGGUAGAGGAAGGAAGAUCUGCACCUGGUAGAGGAAGGAAGAUCUGCACCUGGUACGGCGACGCACCACCGCGACACACCACCGCGAUACACCACCGCACCACCACGAACAAUAAGAAGACACCG
rnacentral:lncRNA from 1 species